rnacentral:sRNA from 12 species
GACCUCGCUCUAAGUGGUGAGCGGGAAGAGCUGAGUGGAGCUGAUAGG